rnacentral:rRNA from 1 species
UACGUAGGGUGCAAGCGUUGUCCGGAAUUAUUGGGCGUAAAGAGCUCGUAGGCGGUUUGUCGCGUCUGCUGUGAAAACCCGAGGCUCAACCUCGGGCCUGCAGUGGGUACGGGCAGACUAGAGUGCGGUGAGGGAGAUUGGAAUUCCUGGUGUAGCGGUGGAAUGCGCAGAUAUCAGGAGGAACACCAAUGGCGAAGGCAGAUCUCUGGGCCGUAACUGACGCUGAGGAGCGAAAGCAUGGGGGAGCGAACAGG